rnacentral:rRNA from 1 species
CCUACGGGGUGCAGCAGUGAGGAAUAUUGGUCAAUGGGCGAGAGACUGAACCAGCCAAGUCGCGUGAGGGAAGACGGUCCUAUGGAUUGUAAACAUCUUUUGUCGGGGAGCAAAAAGGCCUCGUGAGGCCACAAGUGAGAGUACCCGAAGAAAAAGCAUCGGCUAACUGCGUGCCAGCAGCCGCGGUAAUACGUAGGGGGCAAGCGUUAUCCGGAUUUACUGGGUGUAAAGCGAGCGUAGACGGCAGCGCAAGUCUGGAGUGAAAUGCCGGGGCCCAACCCCAGAACUGCUCUGGAAACUGGGAAGCGGGAGUGCAGUAGAGGUGAGCGGAAUUCCUGGUGUAGCGGUGGAAUGCGUAGAUAUCAGGAGGAACACCGGCGGCGAAGGCGGCUUACUGGACUGUAACUGACGUUGAGGCUCGAAGGCGUGGGGAGCAAACAGGAUUAGAUACCCUAGUAGUC